CAGCUUAAGUUGGGUAGGAGCAGUUUGCUGAAUUGAAGCAGACUGAAACCCAGAGGAACCUGCACUGAGGAGAGGCCAGAGCUAAAGGGCUCUUUCCUGUUACCUGGGAAAAGGCUAAUGACUAAAGUUUUAUCAUCUAGACUUGCCCAUGAAGAAGUAAAUAAGAUGGCCAGUCAGUCAAUGAAAACUUGGAAGUCUGAAAAGAUGAGAUCCAGUUAUGGAUUCUGCGAACUCCAAUGAUGUAGUAGCUAAAGAAGCACUACCUGUGAUUAAUCAGGUGGAGCCCAAAACUGCACACACUACUCUCAAUCAAGCCUAACCACUACUGCGCAGAGAGACACUAUCACCUCUCAUGUCUUCCAUCAAACAUUUCACAGUUGCCUUUUGUGCAGCUGCACCACACUGUAGACUCAUAUUGAGUGUGUGAUUUACCAAGACUGUCAGAUCCUUCUCUGUAGUGCUGUAUGUUAUAUGCUUAAUUACAUGAGUAUGCAUUUUUUUUCCAUUGGACUCCAGACAUAUUCAUAGCUCUUCAGCUUGGUGUAUUUCGCAGUGAGAAAUAGCUUUUUGUCCUCUACCAUACCAUUGACCAGAUCACCAGAAUCAACGAGAACUACCUCUGGCAAAAAGAAUGGAAGAAACUAGGUGACAAAUCUGUUGACUGGAGUUGUGAAGAAUUACCGCCAGUGAGGAGUUAGUAUCAAGCUCUAAUUACACAUGGCUUAUAUGGUGGAGCUUGAACAGAUGGAGAGUGGGUCUCAGCAGGUGCAACUUUCUCAUGAAAUUAUGGAACCACUAUGCAACGGACCAAUGUGUUUGUCAGAAGUAAAUGAUGGAUCAUCUCCUGAGAUGCCCUAUAGCACCACAAUAUACCCAACAGGAUUUGGCAAUAUCAACAGCAGAAGCAGUGGCCUGUGCAGAAUCCUAGGAGCAUACCAUAUAGAAAGACUGGACUGGGGAGACGAUGAAGAAGAGAAGAAUAUUUUGCUUUAUCCUUCAAAGUGUGGCCUUUUUUAUGUACAUUAUUCAAACACUACUUUAAAUAUGUAACCCUUCCACUGGGCAGCGGUCGGCAAUAACAAGAAAAGGACAGGUUUAAUUUUGGGAUACUAAAUAUAUGUUAUCCUGGCACAAGCCCCUACCCAGACCACCUGAAAAACACUAAAGAAACACUGAUUAUAGGGUGUAUAAAGAAUCUUCCCCCCACCCCUUUGCAAGCAGUGUAAACACAAAAAACAGAUUUGUUAAAGAAAACAGAAAAACACCAAUGUAAAACACUAUUAACUACAGAGCACCCUCUUGGGGGGGGCUUCACCCAUACCAAUUUGGGACUUGGAGCAAACUACCAACAGGUAGUCUGCACCCCUAUACCUGCCCUUCAGCAAUGGGCUGGAGAGGAGGGCCCACAAUGGAGAGGUCUAUGAGCUGUUCUUUGGGUUCAUUGCACCAUGGGAAGCUUGAGACUGUGCGUCCUUCUGUCUUGCAAGGGGAUCGGUUGGUCCUGGAGAAGUGGUAGAGCACUGACGUCCACUUCUGCAUGGUGGCUUUGUCAACUGGCUUUUGUCAGCAUACCGCACCCCAAAAUUCCUAGUUAAACUGCAAAAGAGCUUGAGCGAAAGGUCAGGCCUGAACUGGGCAGCAAAAAGCAGGCCAGGCUUAUACUGCACUGAGGCCUGGAUAAACAAGGAGUGCCAGCUCUCACCCUGGCUCAAACCAUGCCAGACUUUCCCCUGGCCCAAAUCUACCAGCCCAACAUAUGGCUGAGGUUUAGCCAUGCAGCUAGGCUGAAACACAAAAGCUGUGAAACAACAAAAAGGGCCCAGGCCUAUGGCUGUAGCCUGGACAUCCAGUCUCAGCUAUACCAGGAUGCUGAGACACUACAAUUCCCAAACACAGGGGUCAGUAACUGCCAGGACCCAUUUCUGGGCAGUUUGCUUUAGGGAUUAAUACCCUCAUGGCAUUAACCCAUUUAAGAAAAAAAUUAGAAAGAGGGAGGCAAUAGGAGUCUCAAACUCCGAGGCAAACUUUCUCCCCCUGUACUUGAGGCUUUCGUGUCCCAUAGCUUUUGUUUGCAUCUCCAGUGAAGUGGGAGGAGACCCCCCCCACGGGGAGCAGGUUUUUCUGGCUCCCAACUCAGCUUUGCAGCUCUUGGCAGCCCCAGGAGAAAAAGAUGUAAACCUUUGUUGGGUUGUUCUUAUAUACUUGGUGUGAUGUCACCCAAGCCUUGUCCAAUUAGGGAGUGCCACAGUCAUGAAUGACAUAUGCCCCAAAAGGCUGGUGGGGCAUGGUGACCACCUGCAGGCGGAGGCGAUGAUGGUGGCAGUGGGGACGUGGUGGUGACGAGCUGGGAGCUCCCGCAGGCAGCCGCGGCGGUGUCAGCGGUGGGGGUGG